GACGAACGCUGGCGGCGUGCCUAACACAUGCAAGUCGAACGGGGUAGCAAUACCCAGUGGCGAACGGGUGCGUAACACGUGAGGAACAUGCCCUUCGGCGGGGGAUAGCCGGCCCAACGGCCGGGUAAUACCGCGUACGACCUUCGGGUGGCAUCACCUGGGGGUGAAAGCAGCAAUGCGCCGAUGGAGUGCCUCGCGGCCUAUCAGCUAGUUGGUGAGGUAAUGGCUCACCAAGGCGACGACGGGUAGCUGGUCUGAGAGGAUGAUCAGCCACAUUGGGGCUGAGACACGGCCCAGACUCCUACGGGAGGCAGCAGUGGGGAAUCUUGCGCAAUGGCCGAAAGGCUGACGCAGCGACGCCGCGUGUGGGAUGAAGGUCUUCGGAUUGUAAACCACUGUCGGGAGGGACGAAGCUCUGACGGUACCUCCAAAGGAAGCACCGGCUAACUCUGUGCCAGCAGCCGCGGUAAUACAGAGGGUGCGAGCGUUGUCCGGAAUCACUGGGCGUAAAGGGCGCGUAGGCGGCCUGGUAAGUCGGGGGUGAAACGCUGCGGCUCAACCGCAGCACUGCCUUCGAGACUGUCAGGCUUGAGCACGGUAGAGGCUGGUGGAAUUCCCGGUGUAGCGGUGGAAUGCGUAGAGAUCGGGAAGAACAUCGGUGGCGAAGGCGGCCAGCUGGGCCGUUGCUGACGCUGAGGCGCGACAGCGUGGGGAGCAAACAGGAUUAGAUACCCUGGUAGUCCACGCCGUAAACGAUGGGUACUAGGCGUCGGGGGGAGCGACCCUCUCGGUGCCGUCGCUAACGCAGUAAGUACCCCGCCUGGGGAGUACGGUCGCAAGACUGAAACUCAAAG
rnacentral:rRNA from 1 species